GACGAACGCUGGCGGCGUGCUUAACACAUGCAAGUCGAACGGAAAGGCCCUGCUUGCAGGGUACUCGAGUGGCGAACGGGUGAGUAACACGUGGGUGAUCUGCCCUGCACUUCGGGAUAAGCCUGGGAAACUGGGUCUAAUACCGGAUAGGAGCCAUUUUUAGUGUGAUGGUUGGAAAGUUUUUUCGGUGUAGGAUGAGCUCGCGGCCUAUCAGCUUGUUGGUGGGGUAAUGGCCUACCAAGGCGGCGACGGGUAGCCGGCCUGAGGGGGUGGACGGCCACAUUGGGACUGAGAUACGGCCCAGACUCCUACGGGAGGUAGCAGUGGGGAAUAUUGCACAAUGGGCGCAAGCCUGAUGCAGCGACGCCGCGUGGGGGAUGACGGCCUUCGGGUUGUAAACUCCUUUCGCUAGGGACGAAGCUUUUUGUGACGGUACCUAGAUAAGAAGCACCGGCUAACUACGUG
rnacentral:rRNA from 1 species